rnacentral:rRNA from 1 species
UACAGAGGGGGCCAGCGUUAUUCGGAAUUAUUGGGCGUAAAGGGCGCGUAGGCGGCUUUGCGUGUCUUUCGUGAAAUCCCUCGGCUCAACUGAGGACGUGCGGAAGAAACUGCAGGGCUGGAGUCCGGGAGAGGAGGGUGGAAUUCCCAGUGUAGCGGUGAAAUGCGUAGAUAUUGGGAGGAACACCGGUGGCGAAGGCGGGCCCCUCUGGACCGGUACUGACGCUGAUGCGCG